rnacentral:rRNA from 1 species
GAGUUUGAUCAUGGCCAGGAUGAACGCUGGCGGCGUGCUUAACACAUGCAAGUCGAACGGUGGUCGCAAGAUCACAGUGGCGCACGGGUGAGGAACACGUAGCUUAUCUACCCCGAAGUGUGGGAUAACGCUCCGAAAGGAGUGCUAAUACCGCAUAAGCUCCCGGGUUAUAGAGACCUGAGAGAAAAGGCGCAAGUCGCUUUGGGAGGAGGCUGCGGCCCAUCAGGUAGUUGGUGCGGUAACGGCGCACCAAGCCAACGACGGGUAGGGGACCUGAGAGGGUGAUCCCCCACACUGGGACUGAGACACGGCCCAGACUCCUACGGGAGGCAGCAGUGAGGAAUAUUGCCCAAUGGAGGAAACUCUGAGGCAGCGACGCCGCGUGGGUGAUGAAGGCCUUCGGGUCGUAAAGCCCUUUUCUGGGGGACGAGACAAGGACGGUAGCGCGGGAAAAAGUCUCGGCGAACUACGUGCCAGCAGCGCGGUAA